rnacentral:rRNA from 1 species
CGGCCCAGACUCCUACGGGAGGCAGCAGUGGGGAAUAUUGCACAAUGGAGGAAACUCUGAUGCAGCCAUGCCGCGUGUGUGAAGAAGGCCUUCGGGUUGUAAAGCACUUUCAGUUGUGAGGAAAAGUUAGUAGUUAAUACCUGCUAGCCGUGACGUUAACAACAGAAGAAGCACCGGCUAACUCCGUGCCAGCAGCCGCGGUAAUACG